CUCUGAUUAGCUGAAAUGAGGAGGGACAUUACACAAAUAUGAAGGCGGGCUGGAACCUCUCGGGGUUACAGCCUUGCUGAAUUAUUCACCCUUGUCUUUUGCGUACUUCUUGUUUCCUUGGUGGGUUCGCCCACCACUAGGACAAACAUAAACCUUUUGUAAUUGCAAUCAGCGUCAGUAACAAAUUAAUAAUUACAACUUUCAACAACGGAUCUCUUGGUUCUGGCAUCGAUGAAGAACGCAGCGAAAUGCGAUAAGUAGUGUGAAUUGCAGAAUUCAGUGAAUCAUCGAAUCUUUGAACGCACAUUGCGCCCUUUGGUAUUCCAAAGGGCAUGCCUGUUCGAGCGUCAUUUGUACCCUCAAGCUUUGCUUGGUGUUGGGCGUCUUGUCUCUAGCUUUGCUGGAGACUCGCCUUAAAGUAAUUGGCAGCCGGCCUACUGGUUUCGGAGCGCAGCACAAGUCGCACUCUCUAUCAGCAAAGGUCUAGCAUCCAUUAAGCCUUUUUUUCAACUUUUGACCUCGGAUCAGGUAGGGAUACCCGCUGAACUUAAGCAUAUCAAUAAGACGGAGGAAAU
rnacentral:rRNA from 1 species